ACUAAGAGAACAGACCGUCAUGACUUACUCCAUUCCCAGUUCUGUACUUUUCUCGGAUCUCUGUGCAAUAAUUAGACUUUUUGUUUGCUGUUUCCUCACAGGUAUCGCUCUGGGGAUUCAGAUCCAUCAGUCGCCUUCUUCUCUCAUCAGCGAGAAAGGCGCUGAAGUUCAGCUAAUCUGUACCCACGACCAAAGUGACUACAGAGUGAUGCUCUGGUACCAGCGAUCACCCGGAGACACGGCUCUGAAACUCAUCGGCUUCGGCUACACGCAGUUCAAAGACGACAGCGUGGAAGAGCCUUUCAGAAAACAUUUCAAACUGGCUGGAGAUCUGAGCGGAAACAGAAAAAAUGGUUCACUUUUCAUAAAAGACCUGAACGUCCUUGAACACACGGCAACGUAUCUCUGUGCUGCUAGUAAGCCACAGUACGACAAACACCCAUCUGCUCCUGACAAAAACCUCCUCCCCUCUCCACUCUGAACGUGCAUCAUCCCCCAGUGAGAUCUGUGGUCUGACUGACUGGCUCCCAUUACACCCAGAAAUCCUUUACAGUCAGCAGCAUGACACUCAGCAUAAGCUGAGCAUGCAAUUGUGAUCCUACUCUGGAAGAAUCUGGAAAAAAAAAAGAUCAAAAAUAAAGUUUAAAAGUCAUUUGUUGAGGUGGUUAGAA